rnacentral:rRNA from 1 species
CUAGCGACUUAGAGUUUGAUCCUGGCUCAGGAUGAACGCUGGCGGCGUGCUUAACACAUGCAAGUCGAACGGACUUACCAUGAAACCUAGUGAUUGGUAAGUUAGUGGCGGACGGGUGAGUAACGCGUGGGUAACCUGCCUCACACUGGGGGAUAACAGUUAGAAAUAGCUGCUAAUACCGCAUAAGCGCACAGGGCCGCAUGGUCCGGUGUGAAAAACUCCGGUGGUGUGAGAUGGACCCGCGUCUGAUUAGCUAGUUGGUGGGGUAACGGCCUACCAAGGCGACGAUCAGUAGCCGGCCUGAGAGGGUGAACGGCCACAUUGGGACUGAGACACGGCCCAA